rfam:Flavobacterium enshiense DK69 contig22, whole genome shotgun sequence.
AAAUAGCCCUGAUGGGAACGGCAUCUUUUUGUCCCGUCUUUAACGGGACAAAAAAUAUAGUGGACAGCAGGAAUAGGG